GCCUCUAAUAACCUAGGUAUAAGAGUUCACCAUCACAGUUCGUUCCAAAAGGGGUCGCCGAUUCUUUCUCCCUCUCCACUCGCGAUUUUUGGUCUAUGCUCCACCAAGCUUCGAGAUCCGGCCAAGCUUCACAUUGCAUCGGCGAUUCUGCGAGGGCAUGGUGAUCGGACGAUGAGACCUCCGACGAUCUCACUAACGGUGCAGACACCACGCGAGGGCUUCCAAAAGCGGCACGGGAAGGAAAGGGAAAGGGGAAAGGCAAGUUCAAUUUCUAAGUGAAUCGGGAGAUCUGUGAGGUGAGGAUGACUCUCAUGAUAUGACGGAGGGCCCUCGGACGGAUUAGACGAGAAGGCGGGAUGGACGCAUGACAUUGUUCGCUGUCUAGGAGUGUCGAGCAUAUUGGUUUCGUGGCAAGGGAUUUUGUUUCUUUAUUCAUUAAGGGGGGAAUGUUUUGAGAAAUAUUGUUCUUAUUCGGUAAACCUUUGCUGAUACGAUCAAUUUUAUUGGUUGUGAUAGUUUUCAUGCUGGUUCUGCAUUAUAAUC